GAUGAACGCUGGCGGCGUGCCUAAUACAUGCAAGUCGAGCGAACGGACGAGAAGCUUGCUUCUCUGAUGUUAGCGGCGGACGGGUGAGUAACACGUGGAUAACCUACCUAUAAGACUGGGAUAACUUCGGGAAACCGGAGCUAAUACCGGAUGAUAUGUUGAACCGCAUGGUUCAAAAGUGAAAGACGGUCUUGCUGUCACUUAUAGAUGGAUCCGCGCUGCAUUAGCUAGUUGGUAAGGUAACGGCUUACCAAGGCAACGAUGCAUAGCCGAUCUGAGAGGGUGAUCAGCCACACUGGAACUGAGACACGGUCCAGACUCCUACGGGAGGCAGCAGUAGGGAAUCUUGCGCAAUGGGCGAAAGCCUGACGGAGCCACGCCGCGUGAGUGAUGAAGGUCUUCGGAUCGUAAAGCUCUGUUAUUAGGGAAGAACAGAUGUGUAAGUAACUGUGCCCGUCUUGACGGUACCUAAUCAGAAAGCAACGGCUAACUACGUG
rnacentral:rRNA from 1 species